rnacentral:rRNA from 1 species
UACGUAGGUGGCAAGCGUUGUCCGGAUUUAUUGGGCGUAAAGGGUGCGCAGGCGGUUUUUCAAGUCAGAUGUGAAAUAUCCCGGCUUAACUGGGAGGGGCCAUUUGAAACUGAAAGACUAGAGUGCAGGAGAGGAUAGCGGAAUUCCCGGUGUAGUGGUGAAAUGCGUAGAUAUCGGGAGGAACACCAGUGGCGAAGGCGGCUAUCUGGCCUGCAACUGACGCUGAGGCACGAAGGCUAGGGGAGCGAACAGG